CGCUGUCGCCGGCUGCAGGAGCGCCUGCUGGCCAUGGUGCUGGACGAGGACCGCGAGGUGGGGGUGGAGGUUGUGGGGCUGCUGACCGAGAUGCUGGCGUGAGCUGUGGGGAAAUGGGGACAUUAUGGGGACAUGGGGACAUUAUGGGGACAUUGGGAAAUGGGGACAUGGGGACAUUAUGGGGACAUGAUGGGGACAUGAUGGGGUCACGGGGACAUUGGGAAAGGGGGACAUUAUGGGGACAUGGGGAAUUUAUGGGGACAUUGGGAAAUGGGGACAUUAUGGGGACACGGGGACAUUACAGGGACGUUAUGGGGACACGGGGACGUGAUGGGGUCAUGGGGACACCGGGAAAUGGGGACAUUAUGGGGACAUGGGGACAUUAUGGGGACAUUAUAGGGACAUUAUGGGGACACGGGGAUGUUAUGGGGACACGGGGACAUGAUGGGGUCACGAGGACACUGGGAAAGGGGGACAUUGGGAAAUGGGGACAUUAUGGGGACAUGGGGACAUUGUGGGGA
rnacentral:lncRNA from 1 species